rnacentral:misc_RNA from 1 species
CAAUAGUAGAUGAGCUUCCAUAUGUAGAGCUUUUUCUCACAAACCAAAGUCAAUUUGGGAUCAUUGGGCAACCAUUUACCAGGGGUGGAUGGGGAUUUGCUUUUCAAAGAGAAUCUCAACUUGCUGUUGACAUGUCUACUGCAAUUCUAAAACUUUCCGAGACUGGUGAGCUUCAGAGGAUCCAUGAGAGAUGGUUCUGUAAGAAGGGCUG